rnacentral:lncRNA from 1 species
GUCAGGCGUCAGUGAGUGAGACUGGGUGACCAAAGUGAGCAGGAGCAGCUUACACCUCUCACUAUAUGGUAUAUCAUCACCCUGGCACACAUUCACGUAGAGACACCGUAUAAUCGAGAAAUUCCACACGAGAGAUUAUCAUCCAUGACUAAACCACUACGUAUAAUUAAGAAUGAUUGAUGGGCCUAGGAGAUGGAGCACUGCUGAAAGAGGAAGGUUAUUCAGUGGUGGCUGUGGCAUAUGGGGGCCUGUGUCCGGGAGUUGUUGAAAUUGUGACACAUCCAAAAGUGAGCUCUUACCAUUGUAAUCUACAGUGAGAUGUAAUGUACUGUGCUGUACUGUACUGCUGAGGACUGAGAGUAACACUGUAAGUCGUGUCUGGUCGACUGACGGAGUGGAUCUGUCUCCUCGGAAGUUGGAACGACGGUAUUUCGACGAUGAAUGGACUAUAGCCUUGGAACGAACGACCGUCUAUUGGUGCAGAGUUUAGAGAGUUUCGUCGGAGAUGCGUCUUUGAUAAUCUGCCCCAACACUAUACUGAAUGGCUUCAAUAGAAGAGAAGGUGAAGUGUGUCCUUUGGUUAACUGAGUCAAAGUCUGUAACAGCGGUUAGAAGAAAAUUUACGACUCAUUACAAGAAGGAAGCGCCGCACAGAAAUUCAAUUACAAGAUGGAUGAAGUUUAAGGGACUGGUUCUGUUAAUGACAAGCCACAAACUGGAAGACUGGGAAUAAACCAGGAAACUGUGGAGUCUGUAGAGCAAACUUUUCUGAAUAGUCCAUGUUAAAACAGUAGUUUACUCAUUAAAAGCUCAUUUUUUUAAUGAUCUUCGUGCUAGAAAAUCUGAUGUGAUCAGUACCAUAACUGAAACACAACUGCAGAACGUUUUUGUGGAUAUUCAAACUCGUACUAUGCUUUGUAUCCGUAAUGAUGGUGGAAAAGUUCAAACCUAGCAAUCCUACGAUUAAAGGUGAUAAAACUUAAAUAAAAUAUCUCCAAUA